rnacentral:rRNA from 1 species
UACGGAGGGUGCAAACGUUGUUCGGAAUCAUUGGGCGUAAAGGGCGCGUAGGCGGCCGCGAAGGUCGGAUGUGAAAUCCCAGGGCUCAACCUUGGAAUUGCGUUCGAAACCGUGCGGCUUGAAUCCCGGAGGGAGAAGUGGAAUUCCUGGUGUAGGGGUGAAAUCCGUAGAUAUCAGGAGGAACACCGGUGGCGAAGGCGGCUUCUUGGCCGAGGAUUGACGCUGAGGCGCGAAAGCGUGGGUAGCAAACAGG